ensembl:snoRNA F55A3.8 ncRNA
GUUUCAGUGGAUCUUCUGCAUAAAUAUUCCAAAUUUCUUGUUUUCUAGCAUGAUCAACUGUGAUUUCGUUAGCAGGAGGAUUUGUACUAUCACCAUUGGAAUGAAACGAAACUUCCCAUUUUG